UACGUAGGGCGCAAGCGUUAUCCGGAAUUAUUGGGCGUAAAGAGCUCGUAGGCGGUUUGUCGCGUCGGCUGUGAAAACUCGGGGCUCAACCCCCGAGCCUGCAGUCGAUACGGGCAGACUAGAGUGCGGUAGGGGAGACUGGAAUUCCUGGUGUAGCGGUGAAAUGCGCAGAUAUCAGGAGGAACACCGGUGGCGAAGGCGGGUCUC
rnacentral:rRNA from 1 species